UAGGCUUUCGCAACGGAUGCGACAAAAUUGUAUGUGGUCAAAGUGCUGGAUUUGUUUAGAUAUCUAAGUAUUGUGUCCAUUAAAUCAACUGCAUCUAUUAUUACUCAUGAUGAGGGCAAGUUGUUCGCUAUUUUUAGUAUAUUGCAACUAGUUGAAGAUCACACAUUUCCAUAUAUCUACAAUGCAGUUUACGCUGCCACUUCUAAAUCAUUUCCGGGAGGCGUCUUCGUUCUGAGUAAUUUUUUCUAUGUACCCACUGUGCUGAUUUUCAUUGUAUGUUACUUUUUAUUACACCGUCGUGGCACGAAUUUGGCAACGAAAAUCGAAAAUCCCUGAACGAUUUACUUACGUCACUAAAAAGAAACCGAAACCUUUUAAAAUAUAUAAAUGUUCUAGAAUGU